rnacentral:sRNA from 1 species
GCGGAGAGAGAGAGAGAGAGAGAGAGAGAGUAGAGAACCGAGAAAUAGCGAAGCUUUG